rnacentral:siRNA from 1 species
AUAAUGUAGGAUCCGCCUCGGAUU